rnacentral:rRNA from 1 species
CAGCCGCCACGGUAAUACGAAGGGGGCUAGCGUUGCUCGGAAUGACUGGGCGUAAAGGGCGCGUAGGCGGAUGGCACAGUCAGAUGUGAAAUUCCCGGGCUUAACCUGGGGGCUGCAUUUGAUACGUGUUGUCUAGAGUGAGGAAGAGGGUCGUGGAAUUCCCAGUGUAGAGGUGAAAUUCGUAGAUAUUGGGAAGAACACCGGUGGCGAAGGCGGCGACCUGGUCCUUUACUGACGCUGAGGCGCGAAAGCGUGAGGAGCAAACAGGAUUAGAUACCCCCGUAGUCCCUGUCUCUUAUAC